rnacentral:tRNA from 1 species
GGGCGGAUAGCUCAGCUGGGAGAGCACCAGCCUUACAAGCUGGGGGUCACAGGUUCGAUCCCUGUUCCGCCCACCA